UUGACUGAGUGGCGGACGGGUGAGUAACGCGUGGGUAACCUGCCUCAUACAGGGGGAUAACAGUUAGAAAUGACUGCUAAUACCGCAUAAGACCACAGUACCGCAUGGUACAGGGGUAAAAACUCCGGUGGUAUGAGAUGGACCCGCGUCUGAUUAGGUAGUUGGUGGGGUAACGGCCUACCAAGCCGACGAUCAGUAGCCGACCUGAGAGGGUGACCGGCCACAUUGGGACUGGGACACGGCCCAA
rnacentral:rRNA from 1 species